CCUGUAAUGGCUGCUUUCAGUCAGGCUGUGUCACGAGUAACCUCUUAGCCUCAGCAUCCGGAAGUUCCAAAGAGAAUAUUUCACGUUGGAUAGAAUUUUACAUAUACCAUUGUUUUUGGCAGGUUCAGCCCUCCAGAUCCUAACAUCAUGAAUUCAGUUCCAACACAACUGAUCUUAGUCCUUACUUCGCUGCUUUUGAUCCUGCCUGGCGUUGAAGCAGUCGAAGCUGGAGAUGCGAUUGCACUCUUAUUAGGUGUGGUUCUCAGUGUUACAGGCAUCUGUGCUUGCUUGGGGAUAUAUGCAAGAAAGCGAAAUGGACAGAUAUGACUUUGAAGGACUCUUCUGAAUUAGACUUCACCCUGACCAUUGUGCUGAAAACCCUUGUGCUGUUGAGGCCGAACCCAAGAUUUGCUCUCACCUGUCCUCAGAAAGAGGAUUACAGUUAGCUGAGGGUUAACACCCUCAGUUAAGAGAAUGCUUUCCUGUUCAUACUUGUUUCUCCUAUGAUGGGAGCAGAUGGGGUGGGGGGAGAGGCUCUUAACAACAAAGAGUGCAGUAAUAAUGUGGCCCAUAAUUUGUAUUUGCUGCUUGGGAGGUGGCCAAAGCGAGAGGGCUUAAGUUUGCAAAAGUAUUAUCUCAUACUUUGAAAGUGUUUGUUCAGAAUCUAGUAAAUCUACAUCGUUAUUAUAAUCACUGCCUCUUGCAUUCUGGGGGUUCUCUCUUUCAUUUGGGGGGUUGGAUUGGGUUUUGGAUUUGUUUUUUUGUUGUUACUGUUUUCUUUUUAAUGCUUCUGUUUUUAACAUAGUUGUACUUAGAUCUUAAUAGCCAAAAAUUGAAACUUUUAACUCUGAGGAAAAGUUUAAUAAAAAUGUAUUAAAUGUAUCUAAUACUAAAAUGGUGAAAAUAUUUGUUAAAAAAAUAACUAUACAUUAA